rnacentral:tRNA from 1 species
GGUUGUGGCUCAGUGAUAGGGCGCUUGCCUGGCACGCGUGAGGCUCUGGGUUCAAUCCUCAGCACCA